GGUGGCUCAGUGGUAAAAGCGUUUGCCUUGCAUGCAUGAGGCCCUGGGUUCGAUUCCUCAGCACCA
rfam:Dipodomys ordii contig_53940, whole genome shotgun sequence.